rnacentral:rRNA from 1 species
GACGAACGCUGGCGGCGUGCCUAGUACAUGCAAGUUGAGCGCUGAAGGUUGGUACUUGUACCGACUGGAUGAGCAGCGAACGGGUGAGUAACGCGUGGGGAAUCUGCCUUUGAGCGGGGGACAACAUUUGGAAACGAAUGCUAAUACCGCAUAAAAACUUUAAACACAAGUUUUAAGUUUGAAAGAUGCAAUUGCAUCACUCAAAGAUGAUCCCGCGUUGUAUUAGCUAGUUGGUGAGGUAAAGGCUCACCAAGGCGAUGAUACAUAGCCGACCUGAGAGGGUGAUCGGCCACAUUGGGACUGAGACACGGCCCAAACUCCUACGGGAGGCAGCAGUAGGGAAUCUUCGGCAAUGGACGAAAGUCUGACCGAGCAACGCCGCGUGAGUGAAGAAGGGUUUCGGAUCGUAAAAUUCUGUUGGUAGAGAAGAACGUUGGUGAGAGUGGAAAGCUCAUCAAGUGACGGUAACUACCCAGAAAGGGACGGCUAACUACGUG